ensembl:lncRNA
CCUGGUCUUACAUACAAUGGCUAAGAGCAAAGAACUUGUGCCAACCAACUCUGUAUGGAGUCCAGGAUUCACAGAGGAGCUUCUCCCAGCUUCUAAGCAGAUAUCCCUGCUGUACCACAUCUCCUACCUGUGUCUGGCUAAGUUUCCAAACUUGGAGAGGCUCCUCAGGAAGUGUGCUGGGGAAACCCAACUUCUCUUUGGAUCCUCUGAAGCUCUUCUGCUGAAGUGUAUGGGCACCAGUCAGACCCAGGUUUCAUCACUGUUUCCAAUGCUGAUACAUGCUAUUGAAAAAAACAAACCAACACUGGCGGUAAGGUACCUGGAAAAAGCAAGAACCUGGAUUGAUGAACUUAUUGCAGAUGUGGACAAGAUGGUGCAAAGCUAUGUUCAACACAACGAAGAUGUGGCCACAACUACCAGUGACAUCAUCACUGAAAAGGCAAACACUGAGGCCAAGUCUGAGCAGCUUUCCAAGGAAGUUCAGGAAAUGGAGGGAGCUAUAAAGACCCUUGAAGAAAAGCUUGCCGGAGUUAGGAACGAGCUUGAAGACACCAAAAGGAAGAUAGAUGCCAAAAACCUGGAACUUGAGAGUUAUGUAAGGGACGUGACAAGCAAAAGCUCAGGCCUCGGAAUCUUCGCUGCGAUUGUGCCAUUCAUUGGGCCAAUCGUCAAGUCCAUUUACGAUGCCGCAACAUCCCCCGCUGCUGCUGCAAAAAUCAAAGCUCUUGAAAACCAGCUGAAUCAGCUCACCUCUCAAAAGGCGGCUCUGAUGAACCAACAGUGGAGCAUUGAGGUCCAGCAGAUUGACUUACAGAUGAAACUGGCCAAAGUAAAAAUUGACAAGGGCUCUAUACCCAGCCCUGUCCACCUGAACGAGGUCCAGCGAUAUCUGACUAAAAUCCAGAACAUUCUGAUUCAGAUCAAAAACUUCUGGCAAAAGGUGCACAGUAUGUUGGGUGUCAUGCAGAAAAAGACAUUUGUUAAUGAAGAUCUUGUUGAUGAACCUGAACUUAAAGAAGAAUUUGUGAAUUCAAUCCAAAAGGCUUCAGAGAUUUGGUCAAAUUUUGGUGGUUCCUGUGGUAAAGCUGCUGAAAUAUUCAAAAUACAGUCCAAGGAUGCCUAUGCGUUCCUGGAGAUUGAUCCAUCGUCUCUCUCAGACGCCGUGUGGCAGGAAGAGUAUAACAGUGUUAUGGGACAGCUACAGGAAAUGAAAGUCUUGAACCAGACUCCAGCAGCCAUCCAAAACUAAAGCACUAAAUACUACUGUGCAUUUCUCCUCUGAGGCUGUCAAAUCAAAUACUCUGUUAAUUGGUGGUCAUAUAUUGGUAAUUUUUAUAGAUAAUAUUGAUUUUCUGUAUUUAGGUACAAUCAGUCAUUCCUUUUUUAAUCAGAACUAUAUGACCUUGUAGUCAGUCAUACACAAUUUACAAUGUAUGUGUACCUGAUUAAAAUAGCGUAGCUUUCUCAUUUAAGCCUCAAAUCAUUCAAGGCUGAAAAAAAAAAUCUUUCUCCUCUUUUAAUUUCCCAUAAUGAACUUUACUGCCAUGUGAAACUGGCCAUUACAGCAGCUCAAUGAAUCUGUUUUUCAGAGCCACCUACUUCCAAAUCCAGUAGAUCAUGUGUGAGGAGAUCCAGGAGCAUAUAGACGCAACAGCUCCAAGUGCUCCAACUAAUGUAGUAGUGUUGUAAACAGACCUGGUGUUGCUAUGACAACUGUAGUAUGACAGGUCACAUGAAGCCACAUAACAUGAAAAUAACACAAAAUACCCAUAUCAGUGAAAGAUUACCUUGAGUCUUUAAGAACAGAAGUUGCCUUUUUGGGAGAGUUCCACCAUUAAACAGUAUUU